rnacentral:rRNA from 1 species
ACGCUCGACACCUACGGGAGGCAGCAGUGGGGAAUAUUGCACAAUGGGGGGAAACCCUGAUGCAGCGACGCCGCGUGGAGGAAGAAGGUCUUCGGAUUGUAAACUCCUGUUGUUGGGGAAAAAGAGGAUGGUACCCAACAAGGAAGUGACGGCUAACUACGUGCUAGCAGCCGCGGUAAUCUGAGCGGGCUGGCAAGGC